GGCGCCAAUAAAGUGCUUCGGGAGGGGAGGGUGGAAAGAGAUGCCUUUGACCCAUGGACCCGGGGAAGGCGCCUGGGAGGAGGUCACCUGAAGUGUGGCCAUGAAGGGGAGGGAGGACACAGAUGAGAAUUUGCGAUGCAACAGCCCGUCAAAGACCCACAGUAGGGGAGUGACCUCAUCCCCAGACACGAGUAAAAGUCGAUUCUGCACCCCACGCUGCCUUGGGUGGAAAGGGCUGUUGAAUUCUCCAGGCUCCUCCUCCGCUGCCGCAGGGAGAGAGGAGGACAGACAGGUGCACCACGGCGUUCCAGAAGCCCCACCAGUGAGGAAGGGGACCAGCAGCAGGCUGAGGCAGAACAACGCUUCAGCCCCAGGGCUUCACCCGCAAGGGUCGGUUCUGUGGGCUCCUGCUGGAUGUCGGUGGAGAAGAUGACCUCCACUGAGCCCACCUGUGCUGAAGGGGCGCGUUCUGGCCACGGCUUUCAGAGUGCCAAAAAGACUGAGGAAAUGAUGUAAAUGGAGGAAACAAGUAAAAAGGAGGCUCCAACUACUUAAGAGCUCGAGGCCCUCAGAAGUUCCUCUGACUGAGUCCUUUCACUUCGUGGCCCAGCAAUUAAAGAAACUGACAGGAAAAUGAGGAUCACAUUAUUCACAUAUCAGACUGGCUAAGAUGGAGAAGUUUAAUAUCUGCAGUGUUGGAGUGUGGAGAGACAGUGAUGCUCGUACACUGUUGGCAGGACAACAUAUGUUCCAAAGAGCUCAUGGAAGGUUACUUGCAGAAAAACCACAUCUCCUAAGAUGUUUUCAGGUAUCUUAGAGCAAGCGCAGAAAAAUUCAUUCUCUCGGAAAAUUAAAUACAGAAGUUAAAAAACAAAAACAAAACAACUCGAUGCUAAAAACAAAGAGAUGAAAUGAGGACAAACACCCAAGAUUCCUGCACUCCUCUCUGUCACAUAACAGUUGCAACCAAGCCUCCUCUAGACACCUUCAGAGACACCCAGGAAUGUCUUGGGCAUCACUCCCAGGCGUGUCCUACAUCAGCCACCAGUGACGACUGCGGCUUGUUAGAAAUGAAGAUCCCUGUGCCGCAGGCCUACUGAACCAGAAGGUCUAUUGGGCAAGCAACUUCCCAACAGCUUCUUACGCAUUCUGAAGCUUGAGAAUAGCUCUUUUAGGGGAUGGACUGUAAAAUACUGCCUUUGACAUUUUUGCAGUCUAUCCAAUUCAUAACGUGACACUAUGAGGUCAAGAGUCUGGAAAUCUGUAUUAACAUGACUAUACCCAGGGCACCACUGUACGGUGACAAAAUAAGAGUAGCAGCCUCAUGAGCUCUUCCCAAAAGAAAUCUUCUGGAGGGUCAGGUGUGUUCUAACACACACACCAUAUUUCGAAAAUACCAUUAGAGCAACAUGAAGCAUUUUAUAUUCUGCCAAACUCCUGGAAUAUAACAGUUAAGACAUCAUUUAAAACUGUUUGCCCUGUACAUUCACUCUCUUCUCCAGCCACUGUCUCCUCCCCCUUCCAAGGUCAAGCUAAUUUAGGCCAAUUAAGCUGGCCAUGAGCAAGUAGACAGGCAACAGUGAGCAGGAGCCGGCUGUGAAAUGUCUGGUGGAAUUAUUUUUUGUCAAAACCAUCCCACAUGUUUAAGGUAUUCUAGCCAAGAGCAACGGAAAUCAUUCACAACAUUCCAUCGGAAUCCAGCCGAGGAAGGCUGCAGGCUGUCUGCGAAGGCGCUGUGUGCCGUGAAGCAGUCUGAGUCUCCCCCACUCCCUCAGGCAGCCACGGAAAUGAGGAAUCAGGCCUUGUGGUGCUCCCAUCAGCUCGUAUUUUCCCUAAAUAUCCAAGAUAUGUGUGUAACACACAGAUGAGGCAACCAUUUUAGCAAUAAUUAAAGCAGCAAAAUCUCUGUUUAAAAAAUGCUGGUUCUUCUAGACACAUGGGUUGGUUUACCUGUGAGGAAGUGAAACUAAAAUAAACUCUUUUUUUAAAGACUUUA